CCCUUAGAUGUCCUGGGCUGCACGCGCGCUACACUGAUGUGUCCAGUAAGCACCUAACCUCUUCCGAAAGGAACGGGUAAUCUUUGCAAAGCACAUCGUGAUGGGGAUAGAUUAUUGCAAUUAUUAGUCUUGAACGAGGAAUUCCUAGUAAGCACAAGUCAUCAGCUUGUGUUGAUUACGUCCCUGCCCUUUGUACACACCGCCCGUCGCUCCUACCGAUUGAAUGUUCCGGUGAGCUCUUCGGACUGCGCGGUCUGCAGUUUCUGCGUUCCGUGCGGAAAGUUGCGCAAACCUUAACAUUUAGAGGAAGGAGAAGUCGUAACA
rnacentral:rRNA from 1 species